GCGGCUGGCUAAGAGGGGGCGGUGCAGCUUUUACUGCCGCUGCGCACUUGACGCGCGCGCUCUAGUCCUCCUUUUGCGGCUCUUCUUUUCGGUCGAGUUUUGCCGGGGCGUGUGGGGAACCUACGCUCUUUGAUUCCUCAUGAUUUGCCGAGGAUUGCUCCGUGGCCUGUACGGGGGUUCGUUUCCAUCAUAUGUCCCACGUGCACUUGGGAAGAACAUAGAUUCCUGUCAGGGACCGGGUUCUCUGCGGCUCCAUUUCAAGAGCCUGUUGGCUGAGCUGCUGAGAUCUUCUGCAUGUUCACUGCGUGGCAUCUUUCAUCUGGCAAUUACUGAGAGUGGAAGGGGAGAAGCCUGAAAAAGGAACUUUGAUGUGACGUCCGUCUCACUCAUAAGGAAAACACCGACACGGACAGUAAACAUAAAG